UACGAAGGGGGCUAGCGUUGUUCGGAAUUACUGGGCGUAAAGCGAGCGUAGGUUGCUCGACAAGUCAGUGGUGAAAUCCCGGAGCUCAACUUCGGAACUGCCAUUGAAACUGUCGAGCUGGAAUCUCAGAGGGGAUAGCGGAAUUCCAAAUGUAGGGGUGAAAUCCGUAGAUAUUUGGAGGAACACCGGUGGCGAAGGCGGCUAUCUGAAUGAGUAUUGACACUGAGGCUCGAAAGCGUGGGGAUCAAACAGG
rnacentral:rRNA from 1 species